rnacentral:rRNA from 1 species
CUACGGGGGGCUGCAGUGGGGAAUAUUGCACAAUGGGGGAAACCCUGAUGCAGCAACGCCGCGUGGAGGAUGACGCAUUUCGGUGUGUAAACUCCUUUUAUAUAGGAAGAUAAUGACGGUACUAUAUGAAUAAGCACCGGCUAACUCCGUGCCAGCAGCCGCGGUAAGACGGAGGGUGCAAGCGUUACUCGGAAUCACUGGGCGUAAAGCGCGCGCAGGCGGCCCCUUAAGUUGGAUGUGAAAGCCUACGGCUUAACCGGAGAACUGCAUCCAAAACUGAGGGGCUAGAGUCUGGGAGGGGAAGAUGGAAUUAGUUGUGUAGGGGUAAAAUCCGUAGAGAUAACUAGGAAUACCAAAAGCGAAGGCGAUCUUCUGGAACAGUACUGACGCUGAGGCGCGAAAGCGUGGGGAGCAAACAGGAUUAGAUACCCCGGUAGUC